GAAUUUUCAUUCUGCAUACCAUUAACCACAUCCAACUUUAGAUUCCAACCCGGAUCUUCUCUCUCAUUUUCUCGAUUUAUUUUCCAGAGACAAAGAGAGUGAGAGAGACAGGAAGCAGUCUACAAAACUCAACAAAAGUACUCUGAUAUUACUCAUGGCAGAUACAACAGAAAGACAAAAUGGGAACCCGCGGGCUCAAAUGGGUUUAAACACCGGCAGCUCUCCCGGCCGGUGGCUUCGACCCUGGUGCCGGAAAGUGAGUGGCUGGAGCUGGUUGAGCUGUUGUGGGUGGAUCUGUGGAGUUGUUAUGAGUGUGAG
rnacentral:lncRNA from 1 species